UACAGAGGGUGCGAGCGUUGUCCGGAAUCACUGGGCGUAAAGGGUGAGUAGGUGGCUAGGUAAGCGUGUGGUGAAAGUCCGGGGCUCAACCCCGGAUCUGCCGUGCGAACUGCUUGGCUUGAGCAAUGUAGAGGCAGGUGGAAUUUCGGGUGUAGCGGUGGAAUGCGUAGAUAUCCGAAAGAACACCAGUGGCGAAGGCGGCCUGCUGGGCAUUUGCUGACACUGAAUCACGACAGCGUGGGGAGCAAACAGG
rnacentral:rRNA from 1 species